GGAUCGCCGAGGCCCGCUCCACAAUCAGAGCGACGCCCCCGGAACUUUGAGCCGUCCCCGAGAAUGGAAAUCGUCAUUGAAUUUCCGGAGAGGCUGCGCGCGGAAGCGUUCACAGAAGCCCCCCCCCCAGCCCGUGAUGGACGAGCGGCAAUUAGAGCGGCAGCGGAACGCAAAGCGACCGCUGAAGACGAACGGCGCGCCGCUCUACGCGACAUCAUUCGCUGGUGCUUCCGGCGAGGCGGUCAGGGCCAAGCGCGCGUCUCUGCUCCCAGGGCGCGACUCGGCCCGGCUCUCACGCGGGGCGGGUGGGGGGAGCAGCCUCCGCCUCAAUCACCGGCGGCAGCGUGUCCACGGCUCAACCAUGGAGCCGGAGGCACCCACGCGGGUCUCGCUGGGUCGGCACCGUGGCGGGAGCCGCUGAGCCGGCACCGGUGAGGUCCUGGGCUCCAAUCAAGAGCGGCGCCUUCAUGUCCUUGACCCCGCCACCAAUGGAUGCACACAGCAGACGCUUUUUUUUAAAAUUCUGAUUAUUGCAGUACAGGGUGAUUCAAGCGUUUUUUUUUUUAAACACUUAUAUGGGACUAUCGUUUUUAAUGGAAAGAGAAACGGAUCAUAG